ensembl:snRNA U6 U6 spliceosomal RNA
GUUCACUUUGUCAGAGCAUUUGUGAAACAAAACAGAGAAGACUGGCAAGGCUCCUUUGCAAGGAUGACAUGCAAAUUUGCGAAGCGUUAAUUGUCUUA